rnacentral:pre_miRNA from 1 species
GAAGUCAAGGUUGGGUUGGGCCUGUUAGAUUACAUAGGCGACCCAUACUUGGUUUCAA